rnacentral:rRNA from 1 species
GAUGAACGCUAGCUACAGGCUUAACACAUGCAAGUCGAGGGGUAGCAGGGUAGCAAUACCGCUGACGACCGGCGCACGGGUGAGUAACACGUAUCCAACCUUCCCAUAACUCGGGGAUAGCCUUUCGAAAGAAAGAUUAACACCCGAUAGUACUUUUUCAAGGCAUCUUGAGAAAGUUAAAGAUUUAUUGGUUAUGGAUGGGGAUGCGUUCCAUUAGAUAGUUGGUGAGGUAACGGCUCACCAAGUCUUCGAUGGAUAGGGGUUCUGAGAGGAAGGUCCCCCACAUUGGUACUGAGACACGGACCAAACGCCUACGGGAGGCAGCAGUGAGGAAUAUUGGUCAAUGGGCGAGAGCCUGAACCAGCCAAGUAGCGUGAAGGAUGAAGGUCCUAUGGAUUGUAAACUUCUUUUAUAGUAGAAUAAAGUGACCUACGUGUAGGUUUUUGUAUGUAUACUAUGAAUAAGGAUCGGCUAACUCCGUGCCAGCCGCCGCUGUAA